rnacentral:misc_RNA from 1 species
ACACACACACACACUCCCAAAAAAAGAGGGUAUUUGACAAGAAACAAGGGUAGAAAAUUGGGACUAAUUGAUUUACUAAAAUAUGUAAGCAUUCCAAAAAAAAUCUAGUCAUUCCAAAUCUAUUGUUUGUAUAGUGGUACAUAAUAUGAAAAAAAUAUAUUAUUUUGAGAAUGAUAUAGUUGCAAUAAAUGUUCCAGGAGUAAUGCAUGAAAUUGCAUGAUAUGAAUAGUGGAAAAUAGAAAAAGCACCCGCCCCUAUGAAAAUAACUGCACCACUUUUCCCUGUUGAGUGAACACCUAAGGGAACCCUUGUCAUAUAUACAGUAUCAGUUUGUCAUACUAAAUUUAUAAUCCUAACCAAAGUUAUGAACUUGUUGCAAAAGGCACACCUCUUUUGAGAAAGACUAGAAUGUUCUAAAACUCCAUUCAAUUGCCUUUUCAAUAUAAAAGACUAAAAGCCAGAGAUAAUAUUUCCCACAUAAUCAAACUUACACCAAUCUGAAAGAUUCUAAAAGACCAAAACCUAAAUAUAGAUUACAUAUUAAAGACUACUAAGAAACUUGUAACAAUGUGAAGUGAAAUUUGAUUGUCAUAUCUA